CGGGACAGGAAGCAGAGGAAGGGAAGGAUGCAGCCGCAUUCAGUCCCAGAGAACAGCAGGCCCGGGUUACUCCUCUUUGGUGGCCGGGGCUGAAGGACAGUCUGUCUUAUGGGGAAAACUCUCCUCCCCACGUUUUUCUGGGGGCCUCCGCUGAGCUCGCAUUGGGAGAGCUGCCGUUCCUCAUUCCAAACAUCUUGUAAGUCCCAGGGGCACUGAGAGAGUUUGUCCGCAGCCAAACACAACUUCCUGUUU
rnacentral:lncRNA from 1 species